CCCCCUGUAGUCUCAGCUAGUGGGGAAGUGGGAGGAUCACUUGAGCCCAGGAGUUCUGGGCUGUAGUGUGCAGUGCUGAUCAGGUGUCUGCACUAAGUUUGGUAUCAAUAUGGUGACCUCCCUGGAGCAGAGGACCACCAGAGUGCCUAAAGAGAGGUGAACUAGCCCAGUCUAGAAACUGAGCAGGUCAAAACUUUCAUCUGAUCAGUAGUGGGAUCACACGUGUGAAUAGCCACUGAACUCCAGCUUGGGCAAAAUAGCAAGACCCUGUCUCUA
ensembl:misc_RNA Metazoa_SRP Metazoan signal recognition particle RNA